CCCUAGAAACAGAAACAAACUAUGGUCCAAGUAUGAAGAGAUCUCCCUAGCUAAGAGACAGCUGCAGUGAAGAACAUUCUAGUGUGGGAACUGAGGCUGAGGUGAAAGGGAGCUGAGUUGGUGAUCUGUACUGGAAUAGCCUACCUCCCAGAACGCUGGAUCAGCCUUCUAGAGAUGGAGCAGAAGUGCCAGCUCAGAGGAAACUCUAGAAAGGAUGGAGUGCAUCCUUCAGGAGGCUGCCCAGGAGAAGGAAGGCCCCUGGUGGCCAUGGAGGACACGGAGAAUCCAACGAAUGAAUCCAGUGGCCUCGUAUUCGCCAACGCUCCAUUGAAACCACAGCUACGCUCCAGGCUGGACACUCCCUGUGGAGCAAGGCUGGAAGCUGAACUGUGCUCAGAUGAUAUCCCGGCAGUGAAAACACCAGAGUGCUAAAUGAAAAAUCUAUGCUCUCCCCACCAACUUCUUCAACUAGUGGGCCGCACAGGCUCCAGCAAGGAUUAAUUUGAACACUGUCAUUUCUUGGCAUCCCAAGCUGAAUUUUCCAGGACACAAAGGCAUGAGGUAUUCCAUCAUCUUGAUAAUUUUUAUAGCCAGUGGGGAGGUAGAAGGGAACAAAUAAUUGGAUGCACCAAGCUAUGGAACAAAUGAAACUAUGAAACGUUCACGAUCAAGUCCUGGAUCAAAGUGACUGGCUCGUAGAUAGGCAAGAAAUUUGGCCUCCUUCAAAAUAAGAAAUGAGGAUGGAGCCUCAAGCAGUGGGUCUAAAAGUGAGUCUUUCACAGGCUUGAGGAAGAAUACAGUGUUUCCCAUUAACCACCCAACACUCAAGAAGAAAUGUCACCUAAGAAACUGACUUUGGGUUACAAACUAGGGGCAAAUACUGGAAGGAAAUAAAUCAAAAUAUGCACACUGGUUGUGCUAUAAUGAUGGGA